rnacentral:tRNA from 1 species
GCGGGUGUAGUUCAAUGGUAGAACACAACUUUUCCAAAGUUGAUACGAGGGUUCGAUUCCCUUCACCCGCUCCA